rnacentral:rRNA from 1 species
GGUUGAUCCUGCCAGUAGUCAUAUGCUUGUCUCAAAGAUUAAGCCAUGCAUGUCCAAGUAUAGAGUAUUUUACUUGAAACUGCGAACGGCUCAUUAAAUCAGUUAUAAUCUACUUGAUUGUAAAAUCUACAUGGAUAACUGUAGUAAUUCUAGAGCUAAUACAUGCAAAAGAUCCCAACUACUCCUCGGAGUGGAAGGGAUGUAUUUAUUAGGUACAAAAUCAAUGUCAGUCCUUGUGGCUGAGUUUUUGAUGAUUCAUAAUAACUAAACGAAGCGCACGACUUUCAGUUGG